GAUGAACGCUGGCAGCAUGCUUAACACAUGCAAGUCUUUCGCGAAGCUGUGCUUGCACAGCCUAGCCAAGGCGGACGGGUGGGUAACGCGUCAGGAACUUGCCCUGCAGUCAGGGAUAACAUACGGAAACGACUGAUAAGCUCUGGUAAAGUCAUGCGGACUCAUGUCCAGCCUGAUGAAAAGAGAUGCUGCUGGAGAGCCUUACGUCCUAUUCGAUUGUUGGUGGGAUAACGGCCCACCAAGGCGAUGAUAGAUAGCAGGCCGGAGAGGAUGGACGGCCACAAGGGGACUGAGAUGCGGCAGUCACGCCUCCGCGGGGAAGCAGUGGGGAAUAAUGGACAAUGGGGGCAACACUGAUGAAGCAAUUCGGUGUGCAAGAUGAAGGUUUUCGGAGUGUAAAGAGCUUUCAGCAGGGAAGAAAAAAAUGACGGUACCUGCAGAAGAAGCGACGGCUAAAUACGUG
rnacentral:rRNA from 1 species